rnacentral:rRNA from 1 species
GAGCGCGCACGCUGGGACCCGAAAGAUGGUGAACUAUGCCUGGUCAGGACGAAGUCAGGGGAAACCCUGAUGGAGGUCCGUAGCA